rnacentral:rRNA from 1 species
UGCAGUCGAGCGGCAGCGGGAGGAAGCUUGCUUCCUCGCCGGCGAGCGGCGGACGGGUGAGUAAUGUCUGGGGAUCUGCCCGAUGGAGGGGGAUAACCACUGGAAACGGUGGCUAAUACCGCAUAACGUCGCAAGACCAAAGUGGGGGACCUUCGGGCCUCACACCAUCGGAUGAACCCAGAUGGGAUUAGCUAGUAGGUGGGGUAAUGGCUCACCUAGGCGACGAUCCCUAGCUGGUCUGAGAGGAUGACCAGCCACACUGGAACUGAGACACGGUCCAGACUCCUACGGGAGGCAGCAGUGGGGAAUAUUGCACAAUGGGCGCAAGCCUGAUGCAGCCAUGCCGCGUGUGUGAAGAAGGCCUUCGGGUUGUAAAGCACUUUCAGCGAGGAGGAAGGUGGUGAGCUUAAUACGUUCAUCAAUUGACGUUA